rnacentral:rRNA from 1 species
UACGUAGGGUGCAGGCGUUAAUCGGAAUUACUGGGCGUAAAGCGUGCGCAGGCGGUUUUGUAAGACAGGGGUGAAAUCCCCGGGCUCAACCUGGGAACUGCCUUUGUGACUGCAAGGCUUGAGUGCGGCAGAGGGGGAUGGAAUUCCGCGUGUAGCAGUGAAAUGCGUAGAUAUGCGGAGGAACACCGAUGGCGAAGGCAAUCCCCUGGGCCUGCACUGACGCUCAUGCACGAAAGCGUGGGGAGCAAACAGG